GGGAUCUCAAGAAGAAAUGGUACAAAAUUACUAGUCUUUAUGACCACAAGGUCAAUGUAUGCAAGUACCAAAACGAGAGGGGGAUUUACAGUGUAACAGAAACAAAGUGGUGGUCAGUUGCACUCAACACCAGCUUCUGCAGCACGGCGAGGCUUGUUUUUCCGCCUAUGACGGGAAGCAGUAUUGGAUUCAUCAGUUGUUCCAUUACCAUUUUCCUCUUUUACUGAAUCAUGCUUUUCUUUCACCCGAGUAUUCCGUCUCCUCUUGUUCCCAUUGAUCUCCAAGUUUUGAAUUCCAAGCUCAGAAUCAUCCUCCUCUUCAAUCAUCUCAACUGCUUCUUCAUCAAUGUCAUCUUUGAGUGAUUUUGUUGGCCUUCCUCUCCUCUUCUGUGGAGGGAUCUUUUCUUCCUCAUCACUUCCUGGAUCAUCAGUCAAUUUCUUACCCUUUCCUCUACCUCGACCCAUUUGCCUGCAAAUGACUCACUGGAGCAAAAAUAAUCAGUCAAACCAUGAGAUGAAACUUCAAGAACACGUCGACCCAGAUUUGUUUACCUCGAAUAUAUACCCUCCUAGCCACUAAAAUCAGCAAAAACGAAAAGGGUCAAGAACAGAUCCAGAAUAGCUUGCAACCCAAAUACAGAAAGUUAAUAAAAAUGAAGUCUUGGUCGUCAACUGAGAUGACAGUAGAGCUCCUCCAUCAGCAGAAAAAGAAACAUGGAACAGAGAGAGAGGAGAGCUAAAGAAGAGUGGAAAAGGAUAUUUGCUCAACGGUUGUGUAGAGGCUGCAAGUGUGAGUUAACUUAGCUACAUAAGGAGAGAGUAUGGUACUCCCAAUCUCU
rnacentral:misc_RNA from 1 species